UCCCCAUUGGCUCAGGGGCAGAGCGUCUGUCUAGUAAACAGAAGGUCGCUGGUUCGAUCCCAGCAUGAGGCA
rnacentral:tRNA from 1 species